rnacentral:tRNA from 1 species
GGCGGCGUAACUCAGCCUGAUAGAGUAGUCGGCUCAUACCCGAUAAGUCAGAGGUUUAAAUCCUCUCGCCGCCACUA